CCUACGGGUGGCAGCAGUGAGGAAUAUUGGUCAAUGGGCGCGAGCCUGAACCAGCCAAGUCGCGUGAGGGAAGACGGUCCUAUGGAUUGUAAACCUCUUUUGUCGGGGAGCAAAAGACGCCACGCGUGGCGUUCCGCGAGUGCCCGCAGAAAAAGCAUCGGCAAACUCCGUGCCAGCAGCCGCGGUAGUACGGAGGAUGCGAGCGUUAUCCGGCUUUCUUGGGGUUAAGGGGUGCGUAGGGGGAAUGCCAAGUCAGCGGUAAAAUGGCGGGGCUCAACCUCGCUCCGCGUUUGAAACUGGCGUUCUUGAGUGGGCGAGAAGUAUGCGGAAUGCGUGGUGUAGCGGUGAAAUGCAUAGAUAUCACGCAGAACUCCGAUUGCGAAGGCAGCAUACCGGAGCCCAACUGACGCUGAAGCACGAAAGCGUGGGUAUCGAACAGGAUUAGAUACCCUUGUAGUC
rnacentral:rRNA from 1 species